CCGUAGCGAAAGCGAGUCUGAACAGGGCGCUUAGUUAGUAGUGGUAGACGCGAAACCGUGUGAUCUACCCAUGGGCAGGGUGAAGCUGUGGUAACACAUAGUGGAGGCCCGAACCCGUUGACGUUGAAAAGUCUUGGGAUGACCUGUGGGUAGGGGUGAAAGGCCAAUCAAACUCGGUGAUAGCUGGUUCUCCGCGAAAACUAUUUAGGUAGUGCGUCGGAUGAAUACUCCAGGGGGUAGAGCACUGGAUGGGCUAGGGCCGCCCACAGCGGUACCAAACCCAACCAAACUCCGAAUACGCACGAGUACUGCUCGGGAGACACACGGCGGGUGCUAACGUCCGUCGUGGAGAGGGAAACAACCCUGACCGACAGCUAAGGCCCCCAAUUCGUGGCUAAGUGGGAAAGGAUGUGGGACUCCCAAAACAACCAGGAGGUUGGCUUAGAAGCAGCCAUCCUUUAAAGAUAGCGUAACAGCUCACUGGUCUAAUCAAGAUGUCUUGCGGCGAAGAUGUAACGGGGCUCAAGCCAUGAGCCGAAGCCGAGGAUGCACAUAGUGCAUGGUAGCAGAGCGUAGUGUG
rnacentral:rRNA from 1 species